GUGCCUCAAUCUAUUGAGUAAGGAAAUUAUUGGGCCUUGGUAACUCUCGGCUAUGUCCUAAAGGGCGAAACUAUUUUUGAUGGGUACAGGUCGUCCUCUAGAGCUGUGCGCCUACUUUGCGCACGGUUCGAGUGAAGCGAUCUGCCUA